AUUGAACGCUGGCGGCAUGCCUUACACAUGCAAGUCGAACGGCAGCACGGGAGCAAUCCUGGUGGCGAGUGGCGAACGGGUGAGUAAAGCAUCGGAACGUGCCCAGUCGUGGGGGAUAACGUAGCGAAAGCUACGCUAAUACCGCAUACGAUCUGUGGAUGAAAGCGGGGGACCGUAAGGCCUCGCGCGAUUGGAGCGGCCGAUGUCAGAUUAGGGAGUUGGUGAGGUAAAGGCUCACCAAGCCGACGAUCUGUAGCUGGUCUGAGAGGACGAACAGCCACACUGGGACUGAGACACGGCCCAGACUCCUACGGGAGGCAGCAGUGGGGAAUUUUGGACAAUGGGCGCAAGCCUGAUCCAGCAAUGCCGCGUGCAGGAUGAAGGCCUUCGGGUUGUAAACUGCUUUUGUACGGAGCGAAACGGCUUCCACUAAUACUGGGGGCUAAUGACGGUACCGUAAGAAUAAGCACCGGCUAACUACGUGCCAGCCGCCGCCGUAAAAC
rnacentral:rRNA from 1 species